UUCCGGUUGAUCCUGCCGGAGGCUACCGCUAUUGGAGUUCGAUUAAGCCAUGCGAGUCGCGAGAAAUUAGAUUCUCGGCGUACCGCUCAGUAACACGUGGGUAACCUGCCCUAUGCUGGAUAAUAACCUCGGGAAACUGAGAAUAAUGAUCCAUAGUUCACUACGCCUGGAACGGUGAGUGGAUGAAAGCUCCGGCGGCAUAGGAUGGGCCUGCGGCGUAUCAGGUUGUAGGGGGUGUAACGUACCCUCUAGCCCUCUACGCGUACGGGUGUUGGGAGACAUAGCCCGGAGAUGGAUUCUGAGACAUGAAUCCAGACCCUACGGGGUGCAGCAGGCGCGAAAACUUGGCAAUGCGAGAAAUCGUGACCAGGGAACUCCAAGUGCAUGGGGUAAGACCCAUGCUUUUCUUGACUCUAAAUAGGUCUUGGAAUAAGGGGUGGGUAAGGACGGUGCCAGCCGCCGCGGUAAUACCGGCGCCUCAAGUGGUAGUCGCUUUUAUUGGGCCUAAAACGUCCGUAGCCGGUCUGAUACAUUCGUGGGUAAAUCAACCAGCUUAACUGGUUGAAUUCUGCGAGGACGGUCAGACUUGGGACCGGGAGAGGUGUGGGGUACGCUCAGGGUAGGGGUAAAAUCCUGUCAUCCUGAGCGGACCACCUGUUGCGAAGGCGCCACACUAGAACGGAUCCGACGGUCAGGGACGAAGCCUAGGGGCACGAACCGGAUUAGAUACCCGGGUAGUCCUAGGUGUAAACGCUGUGGACUUGAUGUUGGGGGUGCUCCGAGCACUCUCAGUGUCGAAGCGAAGGUGAUAAGUCCACUGCCUGGGAAGUACGGUCGCAAGGCUGAAACUUAAAGGAAUUGGCGGGGGAGCACCGCAACCUGAGGAUUGUGCGGUUUAAUUGGAUUCAACGCCGGA
rnacentral:rRNA from 1 species